rnacentral:rRNA from 1 species
CAAUAGCGUAUAUUAACGUUGUUGCAGUUACAAAGCUCGUAGUUGGAUUUCUGGAGGGAGCGUCGGCCCGUAUUUACGAGUGCGUGACGUCUCUGUCCAUCCUUGCGGGAAGGCACGGCAUUGAUUUGUUGUGUCGGAUCGCAUCAUUUACUGUGAAAAAAUUAGAGUGUUCAAAGCAGGCUUUCGCUUGAAUACAUUAGCAUGGAUUAAUAAGAUAGGACUUUGGUGCUAUUUUGUUGGUUGAGCCUAAAGUAAUGAUUAAUAGGGAUAGUUGGGGGCACCUGUAUUGCGUUGUCAGAGGUGAAAUUCUUGGAUUUACGCAAGACAAACAGCUGCGAAAGCGUCUGCCAAGGAUGUUUUCAUUAA